CCGAGAAAGAGAGAAGGAAAAGAGAGAAGGAAAAGGGGGGAGAGAGAGAGAGAGAGAGCGAAGAAGAAGAAGAAGAAGAAGAAGAAGAAGAAGUGGGUCUUCAAGUUUGGAUUCUCCUUUUCUCCAUUGAUUUAGAGAGGUACUACUCAUGAAAUUCUGACCAAAAAAGUGCCAUUUCUGUCAAUGGUUUUGAUGCCAGAUUUUAAUAUGCAGAAAUUGGUGCCAGGUUUCAAUAUUUUGGGAUUUUAGUGCUGUUUUUGACAAAACUCUUAUUUUUCAGAUUUUUAAAGGCUUCAAUGAAGUUAUAUGACAAGUAUUGAGGUUUAUGUAUUGGAAUAAAUUAUGUAUAGGGCUUGUAUAUGUAUAAGUUAAUGAUUUUAAGGAAGUGUGGGUAAUUUAAUAGAUUUGAUAAUGCAUGGUGUUUAGUCGAUGAAUUAAUAAAGAGAAUAAAAGUUGGGGAUUGGAGAUGUAAGAGUAAAUAUAGAAGUUGAGGAGUUAAGUGGUGGAAUUGUAUUGAUUUAAUUGUUAAGUUUCAAUUUGAGUAAUUAUUAUUCCGUUAUUCAGGUA